AAAUGCAAAUAAAUAUUAUUAAGUUUAGUUAAAUGAAAUUUACUUAUAAAAAUUAUAAGUUUAUUAGGUGAAAUUUUAAAUUUAUUUUUAUUAUAAAUUAAUUUAAUUGAAGCUGUGAAAUUUUAAAAAUAAACUAGGAUUAGAUACCCUAUUAUUUAAAAUGUAAAAUAAAAUUCUUAGAGUAGUAUUAGUUAUGAUCUUGAAACUUAAAAAAUUUGGCGGUAUUUUAGUCUGUUCAGAGGAACCUGUUUUAUAAUUGAUAAUCCACAAUGAAUCUUACUUAAUUUUGUUUUCAAUUUGUAUAUCGCCGUCGUCAGAAUGUUUUUUAAGAAUAAUAAUUUUCUAAUAUUUAAAUUAAAAAUGAUGUCAGGUCAAGGUGCAGUUUAUAAUUAAGGAAAAAUGGGUUACAAUAAAAAAAUUUAAAUGGAUAUUUAAAUGAAAUUUUAAAUUUAAAGUGGAUUUGAAAGUAAAAUAAUAAAGAUAAAUUAUUUGAUUUUAGCUCUAAAAUAUGUACAUAUUGCCCGUCGCUCUCGUUAUUAAAAUGAGAUAAGUCGUAACAUAGUAGAAGUACUGGAAAGUGUUUCUAGAAUGU
rnacentral:rRNA from 1 species